UACAGAGGUGUCAAACGUUGUCCGGAAUUACUGGGCGUAAAGGGCUCGUAGGCGGCCAACUAAGUCAGACGUGAAAUCCCUCAGCUUAACUGGGGAACUGCGUCUGAUACUGGAUGGCUUGAGUUCGGGAGAGGGAUGCGGAAUUCCAGGUGUAGCGGUGAAAUGCGUAGAUAUCUGGAGGAACACCGGUGGCGAAGGCGGCAUCCUGGACCGACACUGACGCUGAGGAGCGAAAGCCAGGGGAGCAAACGGG
rnacentral:rRNA from 1 species